CAGUCGCCGCGGUGAUACGUAGGGUGCGAGCGUUAAUCGGAAUUACUGGGCGUAAAGCGUGCGCAGGCGGUUGUGUAAGACAGGUGUGAAAUCCCCGGGCUUAACCUGGGAACUGCGCUUGUGACUGCACAGCUAGAGUAUGGCAGAGGGGGGUGGAAUUCCACGUGUAGCAGUGAAAUGCGUAGAGAUGUGGAGGAACACCGAUGGCGAAGGCAGCCCCCUGGGCCAAUACUGACGCUCAUGCACGAAAGCGUGGGGAGCAAACAGGAUUAGAUACCCGAGUAGUCCCUGUCUCUUAUAC
rnacentral:rRNA from 1 species